ensembl:snoRNA
AAAUUAGCCCCAUCUGAAAUUAGUCCACUCUGGGCAGAGUACCCAUUCCAUUCCCAGCUUGCUUAGUACCUGGUGAUUGUAAGGCACUUUGCAACAAUG